AUUGAACGCUGGCGGCAUGCCUUACACAUGCAAGUCGAACGGUAACAGGUCUUCGGAUGCUGACGAGUGGCGAACAGGUGAGUAAUACAUCGGAACGUGCCUAGGAGUGGGGGAUAACUACUCGAAAGAGUGGCUAAUACCGCAUGAGAUCUACGGAUGAAAGCAGGGGAUCGCAAGACCUUGUGCUACUAGAGCGGCCGAUGGCAGAUUAGGUAGUUGGUGGGAUAAAAGCUUACCAAGCCGACGAUCUGUAGCUGGUCUGAGAGGACGAUCAGCCACACUGGGACUGAGACACGGCCCAGACUCCUACGGGAGGCAGCAGUGGGGAAUUUUGGACAAUGGGCGAAAGCCUGAUCCAGCAAUGCCGCGUGCAGGAUGAAGGCCUUCGGGUUGUAAACUGCUUUUGUACGGAACGAAAAGCCCCGGGUUAAUACCCUGGGGUCAUGACGGUACCGUAAGAAUAAGCACCGGCUAACUACGUGCCAGCCGCCGCAGUAA
rnacentral:rRNA from 1 species